AAAGGUGCAAAAAUUAAAAACUGGCUGACGGGGCAUGACUUUAUAAUCCCAUAGUAUUCCCAGUACACUAUCCCUAGUAACCCGGUUUCAACAUGUGAUCAGAUCAAGGUGAGCUACGUCGCAGCCUCCAGCUCUUUGGCCUCUGGCUGAAUCUCAAUCCCCGGCCUGCAGAUAAUGACAACAGCUGUCCUUGGGGCUUCCAUCCAAACACCCCUCCCCCCUCCCCCGCCACCAGCCAGACGGUCAAUCGGUCGGUGGGCACGUUGAGGCUGGGCAGGCCUCCAUGUGAUUCACUAGGACUUAGGAAAACCCCAUCGGUGGAAUUACCAAGGAAAGUUAAAAAAGAAGCUUGACUGCUAAAAUAGAAAUCUCUGGUUUAAGA